GCACAAGCAGUGGAGUAUGUGGUUUAAUUCGAAGCAACGCGAAGAACCUUACCAGGUCUUGACAUCCGAUGCAUAGCACAGAGAUGUGCGAAAUCCUUCGGGACAUCGAGACAGGUGGUGCAUGGUUGUCGUCAGCUCGUGUCGUGAGAUGUUGGGUUAAGUCCCGCAACGAGCGCAACCCUUAUUGCCAGUUACUACGUUAAGAGGACUCUGGCGAGACUGCCGUUGACAAAA
rnacentral:rRNA from 1 species